rnacentral:lncRNA from 1 species
UUUCUUCUUUUCUUAUUUUUCACAUCAACACAAUCAUGAGCUUUUUCUUUGUUUUUUCUUUCUUUUCUUUUUCUUUGCCCCAUAGUUUCAAAGGUGAUUUCUUUUUCUUGUUUCUUUUCACAUUUUCACCCUUUUAUAAAACAUCACUUUUCCAAGUUUCUAAUCAACUCUUCUAAUUUACUCUCCCCAACUUUAGAUUUCAAGACCAAAUUUAUUCAAUAAUACUCCCUAGUUAGACAUAGGCGAAAGGCAAAAUUUGCAAACAAACUCGAUUUGAAGGUUCAAUUGAAACGAAAGAAAUUAGGAUUCAUUUAUUCACAAAAUUUUCAAUUGAC